GGCGAGGUGGCCAAGUGGUUAAGGCGUGAGGCUGCAACCCUCUGAUCGUGGGUUCAAAUCCCAUCCUCGCCU
rnacentral:tRNA from 1 species